AGUGUUUCGGACCAGUCCAUUAAUGAUCAGCCCAUAUUUUUAAUGGGCAACCCGACCAGCCCACAUAUAAUUCAUCAGCCCACUAACCCUUAAAAGCCGACCCGACCCGGUCCAUUUUCUUUUGUUGUUCAUCCCUAAACCUAAUAUCCAUAUGAGAUCCGCCGCGCCUCUCUCCUCUUCUUUCUCUUGCCUCUCUCUUCUUCAACGCGAACGGAAAAAUUGCAGAGGCCUUUUGUUCCUACAGGCCAUUUCGGGGAAAGGAAAUUAAUGCUCGUCUUUUUUCCCGUCAGUUUUCAACCGUUGUAGGUUUGUCUUCUUCUUUCCUUUUCUGUUUUCGAUCUAAAGACAUUUUAAUGGGUUUCGCCCGUUUGUGAGUUUGAAUACUCACUAGUGAUUGGUUGAUUCAAAACUUGGAGGGAUUUUUCCCUCGAUUUUCCACUCGUCUCUCACUAAAAACGAAAGGGGAUUUUAGGGUUUCUGGGACUCUCCAAUAUUGAGAUUUUCGACUUUUUCCAAAAAACAAAACUUUAAAACUUAGUCUGGGUUUCGAUUAGAACUACGAUUUUCAGUGGCAAUUCGAUCGGGUCUAAUUUUAGUUUUGUUCUUCUUUUUCAUUGUGGUCGAGUGUGUAUCGACGACUCCAAACCCCUGUUCACUGCACCCGAAGAAGAGUCUCAAAUGAGACUUGAUUUCGCCGCGAGAUCAAACGACUUCAUCACUCCACUUUGUGUCCCUAGCUCAUAAAACUCGUCCAAAACAAUUUCCCAUGACAUUCGAGACGGGACUUCUCUAUUCGGGUCUCCCCCCCCCCCCCCCCCCCCUUCGAAAAUAAUCAAGGCCGAAUCAAUGAGAAAAGGGGGGGGGGGGGGGGGGGGGGGGAGAUAAGAAAGUGCUACAUUUAAAGCAUAUCUUAUAUUUUGCUUAACUUAUUUUGUGCUUUUGAUGUGUGAGUAUUUGAUUACUUUAGAAGACCUGACUUAGUGGGUUAAUUGGGAUAUUAAUUCGGCAUAAUAGCAAAAUAUUGGAUUCAUUUUAUGACUCUAGAAGAGCUUUUAAUCGGAUAGGCUAUUUGAGACGUUAUUAUGAUAUAAUAAAUGGAAAUGUUUUAAUUCA